rnacentral:sRNA from 19 species
CACCGAGUCCGAGGCUCUGGGGAUCUCCAGGGCCUGGUGCAAAAGGGA